AUUGAACGCUGGCGGCAUGCCUUACACAUGCAAGUCGAACGGUAACAGGUCUUCGGAUGCUGACGAGUGGCGAACGGGUGAGUAAUACAUCGGAACGUGCCUAGUAGUGGGGGAUAACUACUCGAAAGAGUGGCUAAUACCGCAUGAGAUCUACGGAUGAAAGCAGGGGAUCGCAAGACCUUGUGCUACUAGAGCGGCCGAUGGCAGAUUAGGUAGUUGGUGGGAUAAAAGCUUACCAAGCCGACGAUCUGUAGCUGGUCUGAGAGGACGAUCAGCCACACUGGGACUGAGACACGGCCCAGACUCCUACGGGAGGCAGCAGUGGGGAAUUUUGGACAAUGGGCGCAAGCCUGAUCCAGCAAUGCCGCGUGCAGGAUGAAGGCCUUCGGGUUGUAAACUGCUUUUGUACGGAACGAAAAGCCCUGGGUUAAUACCCUGGGGUCAUGACGGUACCGUAAGUAUAAGCACCGGCUAACUACGUGCCAGCAGCCGCGGUAAGAC
rnacentral:rRNA from 1 species